AGCGGCGGACGGGUGAGUACGCGUGGGAACAUGCCCUUCGGUACGGAAUAGCCUCGGGAACUGGGAAUAAUACCGUAUACGCCCUACGGGGGAAAGAUUUAUCGCCGAAGGAUUGGCCCGCGUUAGAUUAGCUAGUUGGUGGGGUAACGGCCCACCAAGGCGACGAUCUAUAGCUGGUUUGAGAGGAUGAUCAGCCACACUGGGACUGAGACACGGCCCAGACUCCUACGGGAGGCAGCAGUGGGGAAUAUUGGACAAUGGGGGAAACCCUGAUCCAGCCACGCCGCGUGUCGGAAGACGGCCCUAUGGGUUGUAAACGACUUUUAUUGGGGAAGA
rnacentral:rRNA from 1 species